rnacentral:lncRNA from 11 species
CAUGCAUUAUCUGUAUUUCUUUCCUUACUCUGUUUCAGCAGCAGAACAUUUGGAAAGAAAGGCUGGAGAAAAAGUGAGCACGGUCCUGCAUCCACUGCCACUUUUCUACUUUUGGUUUGACUCACUGCAUUCUACAGGCACACAAUAACAACUCCAAUGGGCUGGGGGAUCAAAUGACAUGCUGCUAAAGGAUUAAGAGCAAUUCUAUCCUCUUGGCAUGGGCUUUGGAAUUUUCAUUAAAAUGACCUUGGGUGUGGUGAGAAAGGAAUUCAGGCUGUGCUGAUCAGAGGCCAAGUAUUUUACCUGGGGAAAAGAAACCUGCUGAAAUGCACCUUCAAAUCAACAAUUUACUUCUGUGUGAAGGCUGUAUGCAGAGCUAUGGAGUGUUUUUAAAAAAGAGAACAGACCAUGGUUGGAAGACAUCUCACAGAUGAAAACUGGGAUACAUGUGACCAAGCAACACCAAAUGUGGUCAAGAUGGCAAAUGUUAUUAAUGAUAAAAAAACACACACACAAGCUAAGUGAGGCUACAGUGUUUUGCUUAAGUCGAAGUCUGCUCAAAAGGCAAGAUUCUGUGCCAUUGCCUCCCCUUUCCUUCUGUUGAUUGAAUUAAGUGUGAACUACUUCAGACCUUUGCAUUCAGUUUGCAGGAAGAGAAAUAAUCUGAUGACAAAGUGGGGAGGUUAGCUGAAGAAGGAGAAACUAGGACAUUUCAAAAGCAUCUGAAAAAGAGAGAUGAGACAUAAUUGAUCGGGACUGUCCCUGCCAAAUUGGGACAUUUGAAGACAUGGCAUUGCAUAGCCAGACACAGGUUGCCAUCUGUGUUGUUUCUAGUGUGGAUGCUUCAGAGAUGGUUGAAAAGAGUUGUAGACAAGGUGUUCCUGAAACGGCACUCUGUGCCACUUGUUUGGAAAGUAACCUGGAUUAUGAAGUGCCAAAAGCCUUGAAAACCACAUUUCUCAACAAUGUAAGCAAUCUGUUUGAGACUUUUGAAAACCUAUAUCUGGGAGAGGAGCAAGAAGGACAUGGUGCCGGACAUAAUAUUUUUUAUUGAAAAAGUAGUAUUUUUUUUGGCCAAAACACUGCAGAGUCAUUUUGAUGUUUUACCUCACCAUACAUAUUUCUAGUUUUGAAAAGAGUUUUUCUCCCAUUGAUUAAAAAAGUGGAAAUAAAAAACACCAGCUGCAGGGUUGAUGGAGUUCUCUCUUUGGUUCCAGAAGAACCUAGGCAUCUAAAGUCUGCAUUAGCCAUUGCUGUCAGAUCUUUAUUUUGCCCAUUCCAACAUUGGAGCUCCAACAGUUAACCUUUACACAGCCCUAUAGUGGAUUUCCAUGAGGUCAUGAGAUCUCUUUUUCCUAGGGUGGACCUUUUGUCUUUCUUUCCACUCUUUAAGGGAGUUAUUUAAAAAAUCCUUAGGUGUUAUGAAUCCCUGCCCAAGAACCCUGUAGAUCUGAGAUUUUAGUGAGGCAAACAUGCACAAGGCACUGCAUUAUCAAUUUACCUGUUCUCAAAAGAGUUGCAAAAGAUAUUAUUUGUAUUACCACACAAAAAUGGAUACUUUCUUAUUUUUGCUACUACAAAGGAAUACUUGUUCUUCCAGACUAUACAGUUCUUCUUUUUCAGAUUUUAGUGACACAAUAAAUUAUACUUCGUUAUUAUAAUAAGAGAUAUUUCAGCAUGCUUAUAUUUCAUGGAAACCUUGAUUUCAGUCUAUGCAGAAUGGCAAACACCUGUCAUGUUAAAGAUGAGCUGUCAAUAGAAACAUGCCUGUUCCCUUCACCCCAUACCCAGUGGUCCCUGAAGCACUAUAUGAGGUCACUGAAAUGUUUCUAUUAUCAAGACCUCAUGCCUAUCAGAAUAUACAGGUAUGAUCUUUAGUCAAGUUUUCUUACAAGCCUUUGUUCAGCUAGUUCAGCUAGCUCUCUGCAUUUCUGUUUAUUGUGAAGAAAUAUUUUAUCCAGAAAAUAUGAUAAUGCAUUGAUAUCUGUAUUCAAAGUUGUAGCUGAGGAAUUGAUGACAGUGUUUGAGAUUAAGACACCACUCACUCCCAGUAUUGACUUCUCUAGAUCAAAGUCUCCUGGGUUCAAAACCCACAUGGCUGAUGAUUCUCCUCCAAUGGCUCAUGUAAAAAUUUCCCAGAAUCAUUCAAUUUUUUUGGGUCUUCUACCUCUCCACUUCUAGCUUUUUCUUUUGGUCACUACCCAACUUCUGUCAACCUCCCUACUUAGAUCGUUUUGUCCUUCAACCAUGGUUUCUUCAAGACAUCCCUUUCCUAUCAUCUUUAUCAAUUCAGUCCCUAGUUUAUUGUUGUGUGUCCAUAUAUAUGGCUGCCAGUCUAUUUCUGGGCACAAUUCAAAGUGCUGGUUAUGACCUUUAAAGCCCUA